CCUAACUUACUGGGUUUCGAUUUUCUCGAUAAAUCUAAAUGUACGAAUCUUUCCAAACUCAAAUUUUAGAUGACCUCGGGAUUGAAAAAAUCACGUCCUAACUUACUGGUCGUGAUCUCAUUUUUAAAUCCGAGAUGGCUAAAAUAUCUUUUAAAUAAGCAUUUUUCAUUCGCGUAUCGAGAAUUUGAGAUAUUGUAUUCUAACUUACUGGAUAUGAUUCUCUUUCUCGAUUAACGUGAAAUAUAUUUCUUUUUCCAAAAAUUUUCAUUUUAAUACAAGGAUCGUAUUUUUAAUUCUUUCAAGUUCUCAAUUUUCGACAUCAAGACAUUAGAUAAUCAACUAGGUACCAAUUUCUGGGCGUUACGAGGGUGCUAAUCCUUCCUCGUACGUAACCGACUCCCGAACCCAUUUUCUAAAUUUCGUAGACCAAAACCGUUGUUUUAAUAAAAUCAAAUUAUUUAUUAAAAAUAACCUUUUUCC
rnacentral:lncRNA from 1 species